UUUCCUUAGUAAGCUAUACAUUAUGCAAAAUACAGAUUUUGUUUGUGUUCCUUUUAGUGGAGAAAACAAAUGGGUGUAAUUGUGUUGAGUUUAGAAUUUACACAAAAGGUUAAAAUUGAAAGAUGCAAAAAACUGCAUUGGUAGUUUUUGGUGCUGGAAGAAACAUACACAUAAACAUAACUUUGGGUUUAGACCAAUAAUAUCCUGAAACUGGAGGGAUUAACGAGACGCUAUAUAUAGUUUUUAACUUAAUUUUUGUUGUGACAAAUAAAACAUAACAUAUAGACACAAGAGUGAAAAGACACAUAAUUCAUCUGGAUUUACCAAUUCAACUUUUGCACUGAUAUUUUGUGAGAAAUUUCAUGAUUCAAUGGUUUUAUAUUAUGCCAUUUUUGGAUUGACAGUUGAACUAAAACUAGAAAAUAAAGGCGAUUUAAACAAGAGUGAUUCUCCUCUCGACGAAGGGACCUUCGAAAAAAAAAAAAAACUCUCUCGAACAAAACACAAACCCUCGUUCUGCUUUCCACCUCCGGCGCGUGCGGUCGUUCUAGACGUCGCCGAAGGGUCUCCUUCUUCUCAUUCUUCUCGUUUUCCUUUGCUCCUUCUCCUCUCUCCUUAUCUCCUUCUGAUAUGUAGGUUAUUAUGGAGGAAAAGACUCGCCGGCGACGGACUGCAGCUAGAUCCGGCGUUUACCUUGGCUCUCUGGUGUCACCAUGAGGUCGGAGAGACGAAGGCGAAGUUAGGGGUCGGCGUUUAGAGCUUCUGCGAGGGCCUCGUUUUUCCCCUUUUGUUUGGCCCUCCUUCGAGACAGUGGCGGGUGGCGGGGGAGAUCCACCUCUACGUCCAGAUCCGGUGUAAGGUCUUUCAGAUCUUAUCUAGUUUGGUCUAUGUGUGGAGUUUCGUCGGGUUUUGGUUUGGUGAUGUUCCUCGGUGUCUUAGAGCUUUUCCAACCUCUGUUGCGUCGUUCUGAGGGCUCCGGAGGAUAAGUCAACCUCGGAGGCGUGUGUUUAGCUGGUGGAUAACCAAUGUGUGUUGGUGUCUUUGGCCUUGGCGUGUUGAGAUUGGAAGUGUUGUGGCUUGUAGUGGUCGUCUAUGGCCAUCCCGACCCAACUCUGGUAGUCUCUCUCUCAGUGGUUCCCUCUGCUCGGUGUCCUCUCCAGUCCCUAUUGAUUUCAGUCGGUAAUCUAUCAAUGGGUUUUGCUCUUGGUUCUAUUGUGUUUGGGAUGUGCUGUUGUCACCAGAAGGUCCUAUUAGCGUUGUGAAGAUAUUUGUGCUCCGGUCCUCGGAGUCGGCAAGUAGCGAGGUGGUUCGAGGCGUCGCUUUGUCUCCGAGCUUCAGCUUCCUCGGUGACACUGCUUGGGAUUUCAGCGCAUCCCAGUGUCUUUGGUGGUCACUUGACUCCAUAGGCAGUGCUGUAUCUAUAUCUUUUGCAGGUUUAAGAGCUUGGACUGGUGGUUGAUGUGGCUGCUUUAUCGGGCUCGUCUUGUCCGUCUAGGGAGAGUGAAUUUGAGGUGUCUUUGGUGGUUUUUACUGUUUGUCCUUUGUUUGGGUUCUGCAACGGUGUAAGUGGUGGUAUGAUGGUGGUGUGGUUGUGUGUGGUGAGCAGAACAAGCCUAUUGUACUUCAGAAGUUUCAAGUUUCUUGUCACCUCGCUAUCUCUCAGUCUUGAAGGAGUCCUUCUCGCGACCUUUUAAUAAGUUUGUUCCGGUUGUUCGUCUGAUUCGUUCGUCCCUCGGUGGCUUCUGAUGAAGCAGUAUAAGGAGGUUGGGGUUUUAGGCCUUUCGAUGAAGGUUUCGCUGGAGAAGGGGGCUUUAGUUUCCAGUGUCGGUCUCUUCUCUUUGUGGAGUUUCGCGCUAGGCGUUUUGGUUCUGGCUUGGUACCGUGAACGGUGGGUUCAGGUAUGUUCGGUCUUGUGUUGUUGUGUUGGCCACUUCUUCGCUUACUCUCUCUUGUGCUUGGUUGGUUCUUGGCAAGAGUGCCGGCAGUUCUAGGAUCUUUGGACUUACUCUAUUCUCCUUUUCAAAGAUUGUCUACAGAUUCAUAUUUAUGAUCAUAAGGUUUAUUUAAGUGAUUGUUGUACUGGUUGUAUGUGUUGCCUUCUGUUUGGGCUCGAGGUUCCUUUAUAUGGGCUAUGAUUCCGGGGAUGGUAAUAUGUAUUGGCCGGCUGUUGAAGUUCAUCUUGUAUGUUUUAAAUUUCAUAAAUCAAACUUGGAAAAAAAAAAAAACAAGAGUGAUUCUAGUA